UGCAUAGGAAUCUACCUAGUAGUAUAGGAUAGCCACUAGAAAUGGUGGGUAAUACUGUAUAAUCCCUGCGGGGGAAAGAUUUAUCGCUACUAGAUGAGCCUAUGUCAGAUUAGCUAGUUGGUGGGGUAAUGGCCCACCAAGGCUGUGAUCUGUAGCUGGUCUGAGAGGAUGAUCAGCCACACUGGAACUGAGACACGGUCCAGACUCCUACGGGAGGCAGCAGUGGGGAAUAUUGGACAAUGGGCGCAAGCCUGAUCCAGCUAUGCCGCGUGAGUGAGGAAGGCCUUAGGGUUGUAAAACUCUUUCAGUAGGGAAGAUAAUGACGGUACCUACAGAAGAAGUCCCGGCAAACUCCGUGCCAGCAGCCGCGGUAAUACGGAGGGGGCAAGCGUUGUUCGGAAUUAUUGGGCGUAAAGGGCAUGUAGGCGGUUUGGUAAGUUAAAGGUGAAAUACCAGGGCUUAACCCUGGGGCUGCUUUUAAUACUGCAGGAC
rnacentral:rRNA from 1 species